rnacentral:rRNA from 1 species
GCAGCCGCGGUAAUACGGAAGGUCCGGGCGUUAUCCGGAUUUAUUGGGUUUAAAGGGAGCGUAGGUGGACUGUCAAGUCAGUUGUGAAAUCCGCGGGCUCAACCUGCGGCCUGCAGUUGAAACUGGCGGUCUUGAGUCCGUUCAGGGAUGCUGGAAUUCAUGGUGUAGCGGUGAAAUGCUCAGAUAUCAUGAAGAACUCCAAUCGCGAAGGCAGGCAUCCGGGCCGGAACUGACACUGAGGCUCGAAAGUGCGGGUAUCAAACAGGAUUAGAUACCCC